GAUGAAGAACGUAGCGAAAUGCGAUAAGUAAUGUGAAUUGCAGAAUUCAGUGAAUCAUCGAAUCUUUGAACGCACAUUGCGCCCGCCAGUAUUCUGGCGGGCAUGCCUGUUCGAGCGUCAUUUCAACCAUCAAGCCCCAGGCUUGUGUUGGAGCCCUGCGGCUGCCGCAGCCUCCCAAAACCAGUGGCGGGCUCGCUAUCACACCGAGUGCAGUAGUUUACUCUUCGCUCAGGGCGUGUGGCGGGUGCUAGCCGUGAAACCCCCAACUUCUCAAGGUUGACCUCGGAUCAGGUAGGAAUACCCGCUGAACUUAAGCAUAUCAAUAUGCGGAGGA
rnacentral:misc_RNA from 1 species